rnacentral:tRNA from 1 species
CAAAUCGGAUUGCCCUGACGCCAACUAGCUAGCCCCUUCCUUAAAAAUUAACAACCCCUAUUUAUAACCCCAAAC